rnacentral:rRNA from 1 species
UACAGAGGUCUCAAGCGUUGUUCGGAUUCAUUGGGCGUAAAGGGCUCGUAGGCGGCCAACUAAGUCGGACGUGAAAUCCCUCAGCUUAACUGGGGAACUGCGUCCGAUACUGGAUGGCUUGGAUUCGGGAGAGGGAUGCGGAAUUCCAGGUGUAGCGGUGAAAUGCGUAGAUAUCAGGAGGAACACCGGUGGCGAAGGCGGGUCUCUGGGCCGAUACUGACGCUGAGGAGCGAAAGCGUGGGGAGCGAACAGG